rnacentral:rRNA from 1 species
AUUGAACGCUAGCGGGAUGCCUUACACAUGCAAGUCGAACGGAGUGGCGAACGGGUGAGUAAUGUAUCGGAACGUGCCCAGUAGCGGGGGAUAACUACGCGAAAGCGUAGCUAAUACCGCAUACUCUUGGAGCGGCCGAUAUCGGAUUAGCUAGUUGGUGGGGUAACGGCUCACCAAGGCGACGAUCCGUAGCUGGUUUGAGAGGACGACCAACCACACUGAGGCUGAGACACGGCCCAGAAUCCAACGGCAGGCAGCAGUGGGGAAUUUUGGACAAUGGGGGAAACCCUAAUCCAGCCAUCCCGCGGGUGGGAGGAAGGCCUUCGGGUUGUAAAGCACUUUUGGCAGGAAAGCGGUACCUGCAGAAGAAGCACCGGCUGACUACGUGCCAGCGGGCGCGGUAAUUC